rnacentral:rRNA from 1 species
AGCGAACGCUGGCGGCAGGCUUAACACAUGCAAGUCGAGCGGGCGUAGCAAUACGUCAGCGGCAGACGGGUGAGUAACGCGUGGGAACAUACCUUUUGGUUCGGAACAACACAGGGAAACUUGUGCUAAUACCGGAUAAGCCCUUACGGGGAAAGAUUUAUCGCCGAAAGAUUGGCCCGCGUCUGAUUAGCUAGUUGGUGAGGUAAUGGCUCACCAAGGCGACGAUCAGUAGCUGGUCUGAGAGGAUGAUCAGCCACAUUGGGACUGAGACACGGCCCAAACUCCUACGGGAGGCAGCAGUGGGGAAUAUUGGUCAAUGGGGGCAACCCUGAUCCAGCCAUGCCGCGUGAGUGAUGAAGGCCCUAGGGUUGUAAAGCUCUUUUGUGCGGGAAGAUAAUGACGGUACCGCAAGAAUAAGCCCCGGCUAACUUCGUGCCAGCCGCCGCAGUAAAAC